rnacentral:tRNA from 1 species
GGAGAGAUGGCUCAGUGGUUAGGAGCAUUGUCAGCUCUUUCAAAGGACCUGGGUUCCAUUCCCAGCAUCUACA